ACGCAUUAAGUUCCCCGCCUGGGGAGUACGGCCGCAAGGCUAAAACUCAAAGGAAUUGACGGGGGACCCGCACAAGCGGCGGAGCAUGCGGAUUAAUUCGAUGCAACGCGAAGAACCUUACCAAGGCUUGACAUACACGAGAACGGGCCAGAAAUGGUCAACUCUUUGGACACUCGUGAACAGGUGGUGCAUGGUUGUCGUCAGCUCGUGUCGUGAGAUGUUGGGUUAAGUCCCGCAACGAGCGCAACCCUCGUUCUAUGUUGCCAGCACGUAAUGGUGGGAACUCAUGGGAUACUGCCGGGGUCAACUCGGAGGAAGGUGGGGAUGACGUCAAAUCAUCAUGCCCCUUAUGUCUUGGGCUUCACGCAUGCUACAAUGGCCGGUACAAAGGGCUGCAAUACCGUGAGGUGGAGCGAAUCCCAAAAAGCCGGUCCCAGUUCGGAUUGAGGUCUGCAACUCGACCUCAUGAAGUCGGAGUCGCUAGUAAUCGCAGAUCAGCAACGCUGCGGUGAAUACGUUCCCGGGUCUUGUACACACCGCCCGUCAAGUCAUGAAAGUCGGUAACACCUGAAGCCGGUGGCCUAACCCUUGUGGAGGGAGCCGUCGAAGGUGGGAUCGGUAAUUAGGACUAAGUCGUAACAAGGUAGCCU
rnacentral:rRNA from 1 species